AAUAGAUACCCUGGUAGUCCUAGCCGUAAACUAUGAGCACUGGGUUGGAGGGUCCUCCAUAGCCUUCCAGCCGCAGCGAAAGUGUUAAGUGCUCCGCCUGGGGAGUAUGGUCGCAAGGCUGAAACUCAAAGAAAUUGACGGGGGGCUCACACAAGCGGUGGAGGAUGUGGCUUAAUUCGAGGCUACGCGAAGAACCUUAUCCUAGUCUUGACAUGCACGGAUUAACUCCUGGAAACAGGAGCCAGGCCUUCGGGUACAACGUGCACAGGUGCUGCAUGGCUGUCGUCAGCUCGUGCUGUGAAGUGUCGGGUUAAGUCCCUUAACGAGCGAAACCCUUGUCGCUAGUUGCCAGCGAGUAAUGUCGGGGACUCUAGCGAGACCGCCGGCGUUAAGCCGGAGGAAGCGGGGAUGACGUCAAGUCCUCAUGGCCUUUAUGACUAGGGCUGCACACGUCCUACGAAUGGCGCGCGACAAAAGGGAUGCAAAAAUCGCGAGAUCAAGCAAAUCCCAAAAAAACGGCGCCCCGAGUUCGG
rnacentral:rRNA from 1 species